AUGGCGAGGCAGCCGCGGAAGGAUACUACAAAGCACGCGCGAGAGGGAGAGACGACAGUAAGGAUAUUCACGAUGACGACGAGGAGGAGGAGACGAGACGACAGACGCAGCGCCCUCGUUGCCUCCGUCUGCCUCUUCCUCAUCGUUCUUCUACCCUCUGCCGCUUCCUUGUCGUCGUCGUCCUCUUCCUCCAGCUCCAGCUUCAGCUCCCCUCAGCAGCAGAGCAAGAUUAUCACCCACCUCCCUGGCUUCGACGGCCCCCUCCCCUUCCAGCUCCAAACGGGGUAUGUCGAGGUGGACGAGAGCAAUGGCGUCCGCCUCUUCUACUACUUCAUCCGGUCGGAGAGGGACCCGGCGCAGGACCCCGUCAUGAUCUGGCUGACUGGUGGGCCAGGGUGCUCCGCCUUCUCCGGCCUUGUCUAUGAGAUCGGCCCUCUGAGUUUCGACCGUCGCACCGACGUCAACGGCUUUCCUAAGUUGCUCUACAAACCAGACUCAUGGACCAAGGUGAGCAAUAUCAUCUUCAUCGAUUCCCCCGUUGGAACCGGCUUCUCAUACUCCAAAACAGAGCAAGGAUACAAAUCAAGCGAUACCCAAGUCGUCACCCAAAUUGUCAUCUUCAUCAGAAAGUGGUUUGAUGAGCACCCAGAGUUCUUGUCAAAUCCUUUUUACGUUGCCGGUGAUUCCUACUGUGGUAUUACUGUGCCAGGCAUCACCCUUGGAAUAGCUAAAGGGAUAGAAGAUGGCAGCGGAUCAGCUCUCAGUCUAAAGGGCUACCUUGUGGGGAAUCCAGUCACAGCUUAUUGGUACUAUGAUAAUCCAGCUAAAAUUCCAUUUGCACACGGAAAAGGUCUCAUAUCUGACGAAAUGUACCAGGCUUACAAGGAGAGCUGCAGUGCAUGGGAAUUCAGCCAGGAGUGCACAGAAAGUCACGCUGCCAUCGACGAGUGUGUCAAGGACAUAUGCCCAAACCACAUCCUGGAGCCCCUGUGCGCUUUCGCGAGCCCGCGUCCAUGCAAUCUGAAACUGAAUUCAAGCGCACGAGAGAUGCUCCAGCUGCAGGAGGACUACACUGCCAGGGCCGGGCUUCAGCUGUCUGAGAUUUCUACAGAGUGUAGAACGGCGGAAUAUGCGAUGUCCAUGACAUGGGCAAACAAUGACACUGUCAGAGAGGCUCUUGGUAUCCACAAGGGAACGGUUCCUUCAUGGCUAAGAUGCAACUUCGAUAUACGGUACACCAACGAUAUUUUCAGUUCGGUGGAGCACCAUCUGGAUGUGACCACCAGAGGCUACAGGAGCCUGAUCUACAGCGGCGAUCAUGACAUGAUUGUACCUUCCAUCGGCACGCAGGCCUGGAUCAAGUCUCUCAACUUCUCCGUUGUGGAUGAGUGGAGACCGUGGUAUGUCGAUGCACAAGUUGCAGGAUAUACAAGGUCUUACUCGAAUAACCUUACCUUCGCAACUGUCAAGGGCGGUGGACAUACUGCUCCGGAGUACAUGCCAAAGCAAUGCCUUGCUAUGUUUGGAAGGUGGCUUUCUGGUGAGCCUCUUUGA
rnacentral:rRNA from 1 species